rnacentral:rRNA from 1 species
AUUGAACGCUGGCGGCGUGCCUAAUACAUGCAAGUAGAACGCAGUUGCGAACGGGUGAGUAACGCGUAGGUAACCUGCCUCAUAGCGGGGGAUAACUAUUGGAAACGAUAGCUAAUACCGCAUACUGUGAGAUGGACCUGCGUUGUAUUAGCUAGUGGGUGAGGUAAAGGCUCACCAAGGCGACUAUACAUAGCCGACCUGAGAGGGUGAUCGGCCACACUGGGACUGAGACACGGCCCAGACUCCUACGGGAGGCAGCAGUGGGGAAUAUUGCACAAUGGGCGCAAGCCUGAUCCAGCCAUGCCGCGUGUAUGAAGAAGGCCUUCGGGUUGUAAAGUACUUUCAGCGGGGAGGCGUUACCCGAAGAAGAAGCACCGGCUAACUCCGUGCCAGCCGCCGCGGUAAUUU